rnacentral:misc_RNA from 1 species
UUGCCUUUCGCGCCACAGAAAACGCUCAUGAAGAGAGCCACAACGCACACCGCAUACUGAUAAGAAUCCAGAAGUAGCAGAGUCCAGUGUAGCUCCUCGCAGAACCCUUCCCUCCCUUCCCAUCCGCCCAAAGCCCCCGUUGUUGUUUUGUUUUUGUGCUUUCCACGUUUCCUCCCUUCCCUGUAAUCCACUAAGAACGCUUCGCGUUGUUUGUUUGCUUGUCUUUCUCGCCCUCGCUUAUUCGCUUGCUGCUCGCUGUCAGCGGCGCACGCACCUGCCCACGCAUUCGUAGUCACAGGCGCGUACAUCUGCCACGUCACCAGCAUGUCCAAGAUCGCCCCGCAAACCCUGGUGGAGGCCAUCCAGGCCGUCCUGAAGGUGGACAAGGAGCGCAAGUUCAAGGAGAGCGUCGAUCUGCAGGUCAACCUGAAGAACUACGACCCCCAGAAAGACAAGCGUUUCUCUGGUUCCCUGAAGCUGCCGAAUGUGUGCCGCCCGCGCAUGACGGUGUGCCUGCUGUGCGACCUCGUGCACGAGGACAUCGCCAAGAAGGAAGGUGUGCCGACCAUGAACCAGGAGGAUCUGAAGAAGCUCAACAAGAACAAGAAGCUGGUGAAGAAGAUGUGCAACCAGUACGACGCCUUCCUGUGCUCUGAGUCGAUCAUCAAGACUGUGCCGCGUCUGGUGGGCCCGCACAUGCACCGUAUGGGCAAGUUCCCUACGGUGUGCUCGCCCAGCGAGUCGCUCACAGACAAGAUCGUGGAGCUACGCUCGACCGUGAAGUUCCAGCUAAAGAAGGUGCUGUGCCUCGGCACCUGCGUCGGCCACAUGGAGAUGAGCGAGGAGCAGCUCCGCCAGAACGUCACGAUGGCGAUCAACUUCCUCGUGUCGCUGCUGAAGAAGAACUGGCAGAACCUGAAGUCGGCGUACAUCAAGUCGACGAUGGGCAAGCCGCAGCGCAUCUAUUAGGCAGGCCAGAGUCUGGGCGAGUCGCAGAUGCUUCUCUUGUUGUUGAGGGUUUUCGGCGUCUUUGGCUUGUCCAGCACCCCCUUCGCAUCAGCGCAUGGCGCGGCGCGCGAACCGGAUGUGAGCGAGCGUGUGCACAUCUGUACGCUUUUUUCUUGUCGGUGACGUCCCGUCUGUUUCUUUGUUGUUUUGUUUUUAUUGUUGCGGCGGUGCCGGUGCGCCGAGACGGGGAUGCGCGUGCCUCUCUGGCGCCACGCAACGAGGGCGAAAAAGGUUUCCUUCGUUUAAAACCGAAUUUACUCUCUAAUAGGGCUCAAGGGAAGCGGAUGCUUGUCUGUCUGUCUCUCUCCGCUGUCAUCAUCAGGGAGAGUUCGUCGAGGAUGUCGCGGUCGUUGCUUCAGCCUUUCGUUUUCGCUUUUCGCUCGGCGUUGCUUGUUCGCCAUGGUCCACAGUAUUUGCCUUGCCGGCGCGCGUGGGUGUGUAGGCGCAUGUGUGCGUGCUGUGUCGGCUGCGACGGCGCAGCCGCAUCGGCGGAGGCGGCAAUAACAACCAGCAUUGGGGAGCGAAGCGAAACAACCGAAAGACGAGCAUCACCGUCUCUAUACUAGGAGAGUGCCUUAGAUGGACCGAAACCCAAGAAGAAUGAACGCACACCAGCGCAGGAGAGAGCGAGCGAGCGAGCGAAGGCCGGGUGGGGCGGCGGCGGCGAGACGGUCACAUCGAUUGCAUCCUCCCCUCCUCACCGCCUCGUCUUGCGUUUCUCUCUUUCCUUCUUUUUGUUUUCGGCCCUUCUCUGCCACCUCCGUCCAACUCGUAACGGCUAUGUUUUCUGUUACUUUCUUUUCAAGUGUAUGUGUGUGUGUGUGUGUAGGUGUGUGUGCAGGUGUGUGUAUCCUUGGCGUAUGUGUGUGCGUUGAUGUGCUUCUCAAUACAGCGCCCUUUCCUCCGUUCUCGCCCCUCAACGCUCCCUCUCUCUCGUCUUCUCCAGUGCCACCAUGCUUCCCCGUCCGCCGCUCCCCUUCUUAUCUGCACCUCUCUCACUGCGUUCUCGUCGCGUUCUCGCAUGAGUAGAAGAGAUGGCCGUCAUGUGUGGCUGCAGAGAUGGGUGGGGUUCGUGUGUGCGCUUUUUCAUGGGCGAAGAGGGACGUUGGCACUGCGCGGUGGCGGCGAUGCGAGGGAGAGGCGUGUGGUGCAGUCGAAAGGAGCGAAGCACGCACGGACAUCUCGUGAUCAUAUAUGACGCUAGAGGAAACUCCAGCAAGCAACGGGAGCGCGAAACCAGCAGAUCCCCCCCCUCCUCCUUGUCCCUGGCGAGCCAACCCUGAGCUUAAGGCAACCCACUCACUCUUUCGUUUUCGUACUUUUCUUGUUUCGUACACUUCCGCGCUACACCAUGUAUAUCAG